UACAGAGGUCCCGAGCGUUGUUCGGAUUCAUUGGGCGUAAAGGGUGCGUAGGCGGCGGGGAAAGUCUGAUGUGAAAUCCUGGGGCUCAACCCUGGAACUGCAUUGGAUACUUCCUUGCUAGAGUACUGGAGAGGAAACUGGAAUUCACGGUGUAGCAGUGAAAUGCGUAGAGAUCGUAAGGAAGACCAGUGGCGAAGGCGAGUUUCUGGACAGUUACUGACGCUGAGGCACGAAGGCCAGGGGAGCAAACGGG
rnacentral:rRNA from 1 species